rnacentral:rRNA from 1 species
GACGAACGCUGGCGGCGUGCUUAACACAUGCGAGUCGAACGGAAAGGCCCUGCUUUUGUGGGGUGCUCGAGUGGCGAACGGGUGAGUAACACGUGAGUAACCUGCCCUUGACUUUGGGAUAACUUCAGGAAACUGGGGCUAAUACCGGAUAGGAGCUCCUGCUGCAUGGUGGGGGUUGGAAAGUUUCGGCGGUUGGGGAUGGACUCGCGGCUUAUCAGCUUGUUGGUGGGGUAGUGGCUUACCAAGGCUUUGACGGGUAGCCGGCCUGAGAGGGUGACCGGCCACAUUGGGACUGAGAUACGGCCCAGACUCCUACGGGAGGCAGCAGUGGGGAAUCUUGCACAAUGGGCGGAAGCCUGAUGCAGCAACGCCGCGUGCGGGAUGACGGCCUUCGGGUUGUAAACCGCUUUCGCCUGUGACGAAGCGUGAGUGACGGUAAUGGGUAAAGAAGCACCGGCUAACUACGUG